rnacentral:rRNA from 1 species
AUUGAACGCUGGCGGCAGGCCUAACACAUGCAAGUCGAGCGGAUGAAGGGAGCUUGCUCCUGGAUUCAGCGGCGGACGGGUGAGUAAUGCCUAGGAAUCUGCCUGGUAGUGGGGGAUAACGUCCGGAAACGGGCGCUAAUACCGCAUACGUCCUGAGGGAGAAAGUGGGGGAUCUUCGGACCUCACGCUAUCAGAUGAGCCUAGGUCGGAUUAGCUAGUUGGUGGGGUAAAGGCCUACCAAGGCGACGAUCCGUAACUGGUCUGAGAGGAGGAUCAGUCACACUGGAACUGAGACACGGUCCAGACUCCUAGGGGAGGCAGCAGUGGGGAAUAUUGGACACUGGGCGAAAGCCUGAUCCAGCCAUGCCGCGUGUGUGAAGAAGGGCUUCGGAUUGUAAAGCACUUUAAGUUGGGAGGAAGGGCAGUAAGUUAAUACCUUGCUGUUUUGACGUUACCAACAGAAUAAGCACCGGCUAACUUCGU